UGUGAAUUCUUUAUAUAGUUCAGAUUUUAACCCCUUGUUGGACAUAUUGUUUGUAAAUAUCUUCUCCUAUACAGUAGGAUGCCUUUUCAUUUUUUUUAUGGUUUUCUUUGCUGUUCAGAGGUUUGUAAUUUGAUUAGGUCCAGUCUGUCUAUUUUUGCUUUGUUGCCCUUGUUCAAGGAGACAGGUCCAAAUAAAUGUUGCUAAGACCGCUGUCAGAGAGCACACUGCCUGUGUUCUCAUCUAGGAGUUUUAUGGUUUCAGGUCCUAUAUUCAAGCACUUAGUCGAUUUUGAGUUAAUUUUUGUGUAUGGUGUAAGGUAGUGGUCUCCAUUCAUGCUUUUGCAUGUGUCUGUCCAUUAAUUGAAGAGAUUGUCCUUUCCCCAUUGUAUGUUCUUAGCUACUUUGUGGUAAAUUAAUUGUCCAUAUGUGUGUAGGUUUAUUUCUGGGAUCUCACUGCAGUUCCGUGUAUUGGAUUUUUUGAUACUAAUAUAAAUAGUAUCAUGUUUAAAAUUUGAUUUUCUUCUCCCUGUUCUAAUGAUAAGGCUAUUGACAGGUACUUUAUCAUCAAAGAUCAAUUAAAAGUCCACAUCAGAACUAUUCUUUAGUCUUGAAUUUAGUGUGUUUUUACAAUUCAUAUUUGUUCUACUUACAAAUAAUUUAACUAUACAGCUGGUCUUUGAUUCUUUUAUUUAUUUAUUUGUCUUUUUAUGGCUGCAUCUGUGGCCAUAUGGAAGUUCCUAGAUUAGGGGUCGAAUUGGAGCUGCAGUUUCGGAAUACACCACAGCCUUGGCAACACCAGAUUCGAGCCACAUCUCAACCUACACCACAGCUCAUGGCAAUGCUGGAUCCUUAACCCACUGGGAGAGGCCAGGGAUCAACCCAAGACCUCAUGGAUUCAUAAUCUGCUGAGCUACAACGGGAACUCCCUAAUUCUUUUAAAGGAUUAGGUUUAAACACUUCCUUUGGAGAUGAGAGUGGCUCCUGAAGUCUGUUUGGGUGAUGAACAAAGGAUUCUCCUGGGGAGUGGGAGCCACCCUGAAGCCAAAGCUCCAUCCCAAGGGAGCGAGACCAUGCGAUGGCCAUCACCCAUGUGUCCUCCAGCCUGGAUGUCUAUGGACUCAGGUCUCAGUCCUUUGGUGUGAAGAGGGAGGGCUGCAAGUGACGAAUGGAAAGAACUCUUACUGGCAAUUUAAGGAGACACCGGGCAGGCGUUCCCAUCAUGGCGCAGCAGCAGAAACAAAUCCGACUAGGAACCAUGAGGUUUUGGGUUCCAUCGCUGACCUUGCUCUGUGGGUUGAGGAUCCAGCGUUGCCGUGAGCUGUGGUGUAGGUCAAAGAUGUGGCUCAGAUCUGGCAUUGCUGUGGCUGUGGCCUAGGCCGGCAGCUGUAGCUCCAAUUAGACUACUAGCCUGGGAACCUCCAUAUGCCACGGAUGUGGCCCUAAAAAGCAACAACAACAACAAAAAAAAAAAAAAAAAAGAAAAGAAGAAACACCAGGAAUGUGUCAUGGUGCUUUGUGACCCUUUGAUAGUCUGUCACAACAAGAGGGCAUUGUCCCUUACCUUAAUACAGAACUCCUGGAGCUUUGGCAUGUUAUAGCAGGACCUAUUGGAGGCUUCCCCAGUGCCAGUGGUAGGAAUAAUAGCUUACAUAUAUAGAGUGCUUGAAUUCACUUAAUUAUCACAACUACCCCACAAGGUAAAUUAGAUAGUAUUAUACUUGUUUUACAAGAGUGGAAACUGAGGCACAGAGAGGCUCGUUAACAUGCCUCAGAUCACACAGCUUAUAAAUGGUAAAGCCAGCAUUCAACAUCAAGCUGGUAGGCACCAGCGCCCUGUCUCUCCACAUCAUCUAGCCUCUCACUGGCAUCGACAGAUGGGGGCUAGGGUAGGAGAAAGGAAUAAGCUGAGGAUCCCCGCAGGGUGUCUGGGCAGAGAGCCGUCCCUCUUUGCUUUUCAGCACCUGUGGGAUAUCCCGUGAGAACUGAAAACAGUGUCUUGGGGUGUGGGUGAGGGCUGCUUUAGAGGGGCCUGGGGGAUGAAUAAGCAAUGAGAGUCAAGAGAAGUGAAACACAGGUGAGGUAAUCAUAAUUGGAUCUUUAGAUCUGAUCUACAGACUUCAGGAACAUGACGUCGAUUUGUUUUUCAAUUUAAUCACCUUAAAAUUUCCUUGGAGUAAAUGGAAUCAUGACUCCUGGUCUGUUCUUUCUCUGAGGUGACAGGCGCAUCUAUAUUUAGACCAAUAGUCAUGCUUCUGUGGUGAUGGAUCAGUAUGUGCCUCCAAAAACGGCCGUGUGUUGAAAUAAUAACCUGGUCUCUUUGUGAACCGGACAUGUAGGUUUGAUGGAUACACAUCAGAGGGACUCUCUACACACUUAUUUGCUAAGAAGAUGAGCCAACCCGUGUGCUCGGGCCAUAGAGAGCCACGUGGGCAAGUGUCCAUGAGCUCCUGUAAGUGAGCAGACUCAGAUUCAGCCACACAACAGAAUGCAUCACCAACAGAAUGAAUUUAGGGCUUCCCAGGCCUAAGGCAGAAGAACCUUUAAUUCCGAGGACACAAACCACAACCUGGGAUUUUCUUAACCCUGUUCUUUCUCUCAUCUCCCAUAUUUCGUGGGUCACUGAGCUCUAGUGAUUCUACCCUUUUAAGAGCCUUCUCGUCUGUCUCCUCCUUUCCUUCUCCACUGCUGGUCGCAGUUGGGAUCACUGGCAGUUUGCUCACCUGGGUUGGACAAUAACCUCCUGAAUGCUUUGUUCUUUUCUCUUGAUUGGUUGCCUUCACUGUCAUCAACAUUAUAAAGCAUAAAGCCAUCAUGGCACUUCUGUACUUAAAAACAUCACAAUGGCUUCCAUUGUCCAGAGGGUUAAAAUCUAGCAUCCAGAGGCUGGCCUAUGAGGCUCCUUAAGAACUGGCCCAGGGGAGUUCCCAUUGUAGCUCAGCGGGUUAAGGACCUGACCUAGUCUCUGUGAGGAUGCAGGUUUGAUCCCUGGUCCCACUCAGUUGGUUAAGGAUCCUGCAUUGCUGUGAGCAGUGGUGUAGGUCACAGAUGCAGCUCAGUUCCAGCGUUGCUGUGGCUGUGGCUGUGGCAUGGGCCUGCAGGUGCAGCUCUAAUUCAACCACUAGCUUGGGAAUGUCGAUAUGCCAUAGGUGUAGACAUAAAAAGGAAACGAACAAACAAAAAACUGGCCCAGGAAUCUCUUUCCAUGCCCCAUCUCCCUCAUUUUGUCACCAGUGGCACCAAACUACAUGGGGUUCCUGGAACCCACAGUCUGUUUUCAGAUUUGGUGCCUCUAUUGUGAUGUUUCUCAACAGGGUGUCUUCCCUGCCACCCUUCUUCUUGCCUUUGCUCUUUGGCCAACUCUUCACUUUCCUUAGAGAUUGUCCUCGCUCUCCCCAUGGGUGAAGGCGGGGUACGCUCCGUCGUGCCAUAUUGCGCCAUAUUAAACGUCUCCCUUCCCUGGUAGACUGUGGAGUCCUUGAAGGAGGCUUUCAUUCUUCAUCUGUUCCCAGUGCACCAAAGAUGCCUCACAGGUGUUUGCUGGCUAGCUUCCUCCAUUCAUCCAAUCAUCCAUCGCUCUUUCAACUAACAUUAUUGAGCCGUCACUAUAGGCAAAGCACUGUUCCAGCUCCUGGAAACAGGCGGUGAAAAGACACAAGCUCCUUACCUCCGUGGAGCUUCAUCCCAGCAAGAGAAGACAGGCAGUAAAGCAAGAGAUGAACAGGAAAUCAGUCCGGUGGUGUGAAGUGUAGACAGAGAAUUAAAGUAGGGUCUGGUGACGCAGAAGGCAUAGGGAGGUACCUUAUGUUACGGCAGGAGAGGGCCCCUCUGAGAGGCAGCCGGAGGCCGGGGUCUGCAUGCCCUUCCUUGCGAAGAUCAGGGUAAAGAGCAUCCCAGGGAACGGAAGAGAUAAUUUAAGGGCCUUAGGAUGAGAACCAGCUGACUUAGAAUAAACACUGGUCGCCUAAAGCCAGGGCAGCCGCAGGGCACAGGUGAAGAAAGUGUCUCUAUGUAUGUGUGACCAGGUCACUUUGCUAUAGAGUAGAAAAUUGACAAAAUAUUCUAAACCCACUAUAAUGGAAAAAAUAAAAAUCAUUAUAAAA
rnacentral:lncRNA from 1 species